rnacentral:rRNA from 1 species
UACGAAGGGGGCUAGCGUUGCUCGGAAUCACUGGGCGUAAAGCGCACGUAGGCGGCUUACUAAGUCAGGGGUGAAAUCCUGGAGCUCAACUCCAGAACUGCCUUUGAUACUGGUGAGCUUGAGUCCGGAAGAGGUGAGUGGAACUGCGAGUGUAGAGGUGAAAUUCGUAGAUAUUCGGAGGAACACCAGUGGCGAAGGCGGCUCACUGGUCCAUUACUGACGCUGAGGUGCGAAAGCGUGGGGAGCAAACAGG